UGCAGUCGAGCGCGAAAGGCUUUCGGGCUGAGUAGAGCGGCGGACGGGUGAGUAACGCGUAGGAAUCUACCUGGUAGUGGGGGACAACUUGGGGAAACUCAAGCUAAUACCGCAUACGCCCCAUGGGGGAAAGCGGGGGACCUUCGGGCCUCGCGCUAUCAGAUGAGCCUGCGUAGGAUUAGCUAGUUGGUGAGGUAAAGGCUCACCARGGCGACGAUCCUUAGCUGGUCUGAGAGGAUGAUCAGCCACACUGGGACUGAGACACGGCCCAGACUCCUACGGGAGGCAGCAGUGGGGAAUAUUGCGCAAUGGGGGAAACCCUGACGCASCCAUGCCGCGUGUGUGAAGAAGGCCUUCGGGUUGUAAAGCACUUUAAGUGGGGAAGAAAAGUUGGUCGUUAAUAGCGGCCAGCCCUGACAUUACCCACAGAAUAAGCACCGGCUAACUCCGUGCCAGCAGCCGCGGUAAUACGGAGGGUGCGAGCGUUAAUCGGAAUUACUGGGCGUAAAGCGCGCGUAGGCGGUUUGUUAAGUCAGCUGUGAAAGCCCCGGGCUCAACCUGGGAACUGCAGUUGAUACUGGCCGACUGGAGUGCGAGAGAGGGAGGUAGAAUUCCAUGUGUAGCGGUGAAAUGCGUAGAUAUAUGGAGGAAUACCGGUGGCGAAGGCGGCCUCCUGGCUCGACACUGACGCUGAGGUGCGAAAGCGUGGGGAUCAAACAGGAUUAGAUACCCUGGUAGUCCACGCCGUAAACGAUGUCUACUAGCCGUUGGGAGACUUGAUUUCUUAGUGGCGCAGCUAACGCAAUAAGUAGACCGCCUGGGGAGUACGGCCGCAAGGUUAAAACUCAAAUGAAUUGACGGGGGCCCGCACAAGCGGUGGAGCAUGUGGUUUAAUUCGAUGCAACGCGAAGAAY
rnacentral:rRNA from 1 species